rnacentral:lncRNA from 1 species
CAACCGGAUACUGAUAACUGCCAAAACAGUUUCCCCUCCCUCAACUUUCCUUCCUACCAAAAAAACAGGGCAAGUGCUUCUGUGACCAGCCUGCAGUGAGAGUUAAACAACUGAACACCUGGAAGAGGAAAGUAAGGAGGAAAAUCAAACCUCAGCAUUGCUCUCCUCCUAGGAACUUUGGCAGUUUUGCAGCU